CAGUGAGCAGUUCUGACAGCCGGAGUCUAGUACAGCAGAGUCACCUUGGAACCCAGGAGACCCACUGAGCGAAGUAAUUUGCUCACGAGGGAAGGAUCUAUGAUAUUGUUGACUCAUUAUUAUGGAACUCACAAACAACACCAUUGACAUGUAAGCAAGAGCAAAGCUCACAUAAAUAAAGCAUACCCGAAA